rnacentral:rRNA from 1 species
UGGGGAAUAUUGCACAAUGGGCGCAAGCCUGAUGCAGCCAUGCCGCGUGUAUGAAGAAGGCCUUGGUUGUAAAGUACUUUCAGCGGGGAGGAAGGCGCUGCGGUUAAUAACCGCGGCGAUUGACGUUACCCGCAGAAGAAGCACCGGCUAACUCCGUGCCAG